rnacentral:rRNA from 1 species
GACGAACGCUGGCGGCGUGCUUAACACAUGCAAGUCGAACGGAAAGGCCCUGCUUUUGUGGGGUGCUCUAGUGGAGAACGGGGGAGUAACACGUGUGUAACCUGUCCUCUACUUUGAGAUAACUUCAGGAAAUUUGGGCUAAUACCGGAUAGGAGCUCCUGCUGCAUGGUGGGGGUGGGAAAGUUUCGGCGGUUGGGGAUGUACUCGCGGCUUAUCACCUUGUUGGUGGGGUAGUGGCUUACCAAGGCUUUUACGGGUAGCCGCCCUGAGAGGGUGACCGGCCCCACUAGGACUGAGAUGCGGCACAGACUCCUCCCGGAGGCAGCAGUGCGGAAUAUUGACUAAUGGGCGGGGGCCAACUCUGAUCACGCCACGUGGCGGGUGUCAGCCAUCCCGUAGUAAACCGCUUUCCCCUGAGACGAAACGUGAGUGACGGUACUGGGUAAAGAAGCACCGGCUAACUCCGUG